AAGAGCGAAGUGGCGGGAGACCGUCACGCUUCGUUCUGUGGGGGCCCGGGGGCGCAAUUCCCCCGGGCUACUCGGC
rnacentral:ncRNA from 1 species